CCGGCACAUUUACACAGAUAUCUGUUAGAGUUAUACAUCUAUUUCUAACGAAUUUGAGUGACAUUAAACCAUUGAACCCUAAUAUGCUUACCUUCCAAAAAAACUCAUAUUAUCCUUAUACGUCCUCCGCCUCUUUUUAACUUUUUUUUUGGGUCUGAUCUGUUUCUCUUUCUCUAUCUUUCUCCUUCAAAAACUCUACUUCUCUCCUUUGUUGGCUCCGAACCGGAGUCCUACGUUCAUCGCCCUCUCACACCGCCGCCACCACCACUAAGAGCAGCGGAUGAACAUGAACAAAACCCAGGUUUUAUUACACCGCGUUUUAGUUUCCUCAUAUAUGUUUUUGAAUUCAAGAAUGGAUCUUGAAUGACGACUCAGAUCUUGUCAAUCGGUUGCAGGUAUAUUACCCAAGAAAUAGUAGAUUGGUUGUAGGUGAAUUCUCUCUACCUCGAUCUAUCCUUUUUACCCCAUAUUGUAUAAUCAAUUUGUUGGUUGAAUCUCAAUCUUUUGUUUCUGUUCUUAGUUCUUGUUCAUCGGCCUCUCA
rnacentral:lncRNA from 1 species